rnacentral:rRNA from 1 species
AGUGAACGCUGGCGGUAGGCCUAACACAUGCAAGUCGAACGGCAGCACAGAGGAGCUUGCUCCUUGGGUGGCGAGUGGCGGACGGGUGAGGAAUACAUCGGAAUCUACUCUGUCGUGGGGGAUAACGUAGGGAAACUUACGCUAAUACCGCAUACGACCUACGGGUGAAAGCAGGGGACCUUCGGGCCUUGCGCGAUUGAAUGAGCCGAUGUCGGAUUGGCUAGUUGGCGGGGUAAAGGCCCACCAAGGCGACGAUCCGUAGCUGGUCUGAGAGGAUGAUCAGCCUCACUGGAACUGAGACACGGUCCAGACUCCUACGGGAGGCAGCAGUGGGGAAUAUUGGACAAUGGGCGCAAGCCUGAUCCAGCCAUACCGCGUGGGUGAAGAAGGCCUUCGGGUUGUAAAGCCCUUUUGUUGGGAAAGAAAUCCAGCUGGCUAAUACCCGGUUGGGAUGACGGUACCCAAAGAGUAAGCACCGGCUAACUUCGUGCCAGCCGCCGCCGUAA